UCAGGAUGAACGCUAGCUACAGGCUUAACACAUGCAAGUCGAGGGGUAACGUUGCGGAAGCUUGCUUCUGCAGACGACGACCGGCGCACGGGUGAGUAACGCGUAUCCAACCUGCCCCAUGCUCAGGGAUAACCUUCCGAAAGGGAGCCUAAUACCUGAUGUUGUGCGACGAUGGCAUCAGAAUUGCACGAAAGAUUUUAUCGGCAUGGGAUGGGGAUGCGUCUGAUUAGCUUGCCGGCGGGUAACGGCCCACCGGGGCUACGAUCAGUAGGGUUCUGAGAGGAAGGUCCCCCACACUGGUACUGAGACACGGACCAGACUCCUACGGGAGGCAGCAGUGAGGAAUAUUGGUCAAUGGGCGGGAGCCUGAACCAGCCAAGUAGCGUGCAGGACGACGGCCCUACGGGUUGUAAACUGCUUUUAUGAGGGGAUAAAGUGGGCUACGUGUAGCUUAUUGCAGGUACCUCAUGAAUAAGGACCGGCUAAUUCCGUGCCAGCCGCUGC
rnacentral:rRNA from 1 species